GAUGAACGCUGGCGGCGUGCCUAAUACAUGCAAGUCGAGCGAACAGACGAGGAGCUUGCUCCUCUGACGUUAGCGGCGGACGGGUGAGUAACACGUGGAUAACCUACCUAUAAGACUGGGAUAACUUCGGGAAACCGGAGCUAAUACCGGAUAAUAUAUUGAACCGCAUGGUUCAAUAGUGAAAGACGGUUUUGCUGUCACUUAUAGAUGGAUCCGCGCCGCAUUAGCUAGUUGGUAAGGUAACGGCUUACCAAGGCAACGAUGCGUAGCCGACCUGAGAGGGUGAUCGGCCACACUGGAACUGAGACACGGUCCAGACUCCUACGGGAGGCAGCAGUGGGGAAUCUUCCGCAAUGGGCGAAAGCUUGACGGAGCAACGCCGCGUGAGUGAUGAAGGUCUUCGGAUCGUAAAGCUCUGUUAUUAGGGAAGAACAAAUGUGUAAGUAACUAUGCACGUCUUGACGGUACCUAAUCAGAAAGCCACGGCUAACUACGUG
rnacentral:rRNA from 1 species